CACGACGGCUACGAUAUACGAGUGUUCUCCGUGGCGUGAUUUUUUUUAAAGGAGGCAAUCAAAAUCAAAAGCGCAAUAAUUACACAAACCAUAGGCGUGUGUUGGCGGUGCAGUUUUGAACAACCUGGUUACUAUAUAGUUUAACGAAAAAUUCGUUUUGGCGAUAUCGUUUACAUCAAUUGUUUGAUAACUACAGGCAGUUUUCGACCACCAGGUUGUCGGAAACAUCAAACAAUUACAAACUUACAUUUAUAUUUACUGUCUUCGGUUAUUGGGUAUCCAUUGUUGAAAUUAAGUAAAGUAGUUAAACAAACCGUUCGGAUGACAUCGCAAUCAAGUAGCAAACAAUGCAGCAAACCGUUUUCGUCAU